GUUUGUGAUUUAAUUUUUCCGUGGCUUAGUUUUUCCCAUUAUAUCGGUUUAUGGAAAAAGUAGACUUCAAAUCAACUUUUUGCCGAGAAAAAUCAAAUAGCAAAACAAGCAGGCAAUCGCAUUGCUACAAUUUUUGAAAAAUGAAAACAAGAGUUGGAAAAGUUGCUAGAGAAUUGUAAUUUUUUCGGAAACGAUAAUUUCGUUGUAAACAUUUAUUAGUCUAUAAUUAUGCCUGUAAUAUAUUAAAUUUUUUACGCAUAUAUUUUUAGUGGCAUACUAUGACGCAAAAUGAAAAUCAUUGAGAUAUUUAUUUACUUACAAUUGCAAUUUAAUGUCAGUUUUACUGCUAUUUUAAACUGUAUAAAUAUCCAAAUAAUGUUAACAUUAAACCUAAAGUACACUGACCAAUAAACAAUAUUGAAUAUUAAAAAUCUAAUUUAAUGAUGACCGAAUUGAACGUGGAUUUUUCAAGAAUGUCACAAUAUGUUCCAACAAACAAGAACUAGGAGGCUCAUUUAAUAGAAGAAGUGAGAAGGUUUCCGUGUUUAUGGGAUACAACAACUCGCGCAUAUAAGGAAACGCCUUUAAAAGUUGAAGCGUGGAGGCAGAUAUCUACUUUAUUAAAUGUAGACGAAAAAACUCUGACUUCAGCAUGGACAAAGCUGAGAGAAAAUUUUCGUAGAUGCCUAAACCGA